UUAAAUGAAUAAGGGCGUAUGGUGGAUGCCUAGGCAUGUAGAGCAGAAGAAGGACGCAGCUAACGGCGAAACGCGACGGGGAGUGGUAAGCACACAUCGAUCCGUCGGUCUCCGAAUGGGGAAACCCAGCGCGAGUAAUGUCGCGUUACCCAUGAGUGAAUACAUAGCUCAUGAGGAGAGAACCCAGGGAAUUGAAACAUCUUAGUACCUGGAGGAAAAGAAAAUAAGAAUGAUUCCCUCAGUAGCGGCGAGCGAACGGGGAAGAGCCCAAACCAGCCUUAGGGCUGGGGUAGUAGGACCACGACGUGGUACAGUAACCGAUAGAAGAAGGACAUUGAAAGGUCCGCCAAAGAGGGUGCAAGCCCCGUAAUCGAAAUUGGGAGCUGACCUAGUGGAAUCCUGAGUACGGCGAGGCACGUGGAACCUUGUCGGAAGCAUCCGGGACCAUCCGGAAAGGCUAAAUACUCCUACAUGACCGAUAGUGAACCAGUACCGUGAGGGAAAGGUGAAAAGAACCGCGGGAGCGGAGUGAAAUAGAACCUGAAACCAUAUGCUUACAAGAAGACAGAGCCCGUUAAGGGGUGAUGUCGUGCCUUUUGUAGAAUGAACCGGCGAGUUAUCUUAUCGUGCGAGGUUAAGUGGAAGACACGGAGCCGAAGCGAAAGCGAGUCUGAAUAGGGCGGCAGUACGAUGAGAUAGACCCGAAGCCGUAGUGAUCUAGCCAUGACCAGGUUGAAGUUUGGGUGAAACCAAAUGGAGGACCGAACCGACCCCCGUUGAAAAGUUGGCGGAUGAGUUGUGGCUAGCGGAGAAAUUCCAAUCGAACACGGAGAUAGCUGGUUCUCCCCGAAAUAGCUUUAGGGCUAGCGUCGAAGUAAGGGUAGUGGAGGUAGAGCACUGAAUUCAUGAUGGCGCCGUCAAGGUGUACUGAAUGAAAUCAAACUCCGAAUGCCAUUAUUGAAUCUUCGGCAGUCAGACUGUGGGUGAUAAGGUCCAUGGUCAAAAGGGAAACAGCCCAGAUCAUCAGUUAAGGUCCCAAAAUUACCGCUAAGUGGAAAAGGAUGUGGGGAUGCACAGACAACUAGGAGGUUGGCUUAGAAGCAGCCACCCUUCAAAGAGUGCGUAACAGCUCACUAGUCGAGUGACCCUGCGCCGAAAAUUAACCGGGGCUAAGCGGUAUACCGAAACUAUGGCAAUGAUGUAAAUCAUUGGGUAGGGGAGCGUUCCAUGGGCGUUGAAGCUGUACCGUAAGGAGCAGUGGAGCGCAUGGAAGUGAGAAUGCCGGUGUGAGUAGCGAGAUGCAGGUGAGAAUCCUGCACACCGAUAGACCAAGGAUUCCAGGGGAAGGUUCGUCCGCCCUGGGUAAGUCGGGACCUAAGGCGAGGCUGAAAAGCGUAGUCGAUGGAAAACAGGUUGAUAUUCCUGUACCCGCGCAUCGAGUGAUGGAGUGACAAAGAAGGCUAACCGGACCGGUGAAUGGAUUCCGGACCAAGCGAGGUAGGAGGCAGUCAGGCAAAUCCGGCUGUCAAUCUGAAGGCGUGAUGGGGAGUGAACAGCGCGAGCUAAGUAGCGAAGACGGCGAUGCCAGCUUUCAAGAAAAGCUUCUAGCGCUAAUCGAUGAGCGGCCCGUACCAAAACCGACACAGGUGGUCAAGGCGAGAAGCCUAAGGUGAGCGAGAGAACUGUUGCCAAGGAACUCGGCAAAAUAGCCCCGUACGUUCGCAAGAAGGGGCGCUCGAAAGAGCCGCAGUGAAGAGGCCCAAGCAACUGUUUAACUAAAACACAGCUCUCUGCAAAGUCGCAAGACGAAGUAUAGGGGGUGACGCCUGCCCGGUGCUGGAAGGUUAAGAGGAUAUGUUAGUCGCAAGACGAAGCAUUGAAUUGAAGCCCCAGUGAACGGCGGCCGUAACUAUAACGGUCCUAAGGUAGCGAAAUUCCUUGUCAGGUAAGUUCUGACCCG
rnacentral:rRNA from 1 species